GAUGAACGCUAGCGGGAGGCCUAACACAUGCAAGCCGAGCGGUAGAGUUCCUUCGGGAACUUGAGAGCGGCGUACGGGUGCGUAACACGUGUGCAACCUACCUUUAUCUGGGGGAUAGCCUUUCGAAAGGAAGAUUAAUACCCCAUAAUAUAAUGAUUGGCAUCAAUUAUUAUUGAAAACUCCGGUGGAUAGAGAUGGGCACGCGCAAGAUUAGAUAGUUGGUGAGGUAACGGCUCACCAAGUCAAUGAUCUUUAGGGGUCCUGAGAGGGAGAUCCCCCACACUGGGACUGAGACACGGACCAGACUCCUACGGGAGGCAGCAGUGAGGAAUAUUGGACAAUGGGUGAAAGCCUGAUCCAGCCAUCCCGCGUGAAGGAUGACGGUCCUAUGGAUUGUAAACUUCUUUUGUACAGGGAUAAACCUACUCUCGUGAGGGUAGCUGAAGGUACUGUACGAAUAAGCACCGGCUAACUCCGUG
rnacentral:rRNA from 1 species